GGUCAGACAAGCAGCACUUUUCAAUAAUUGAUGAUGCUGAGUUUCUAAGUAAAACCAAAAAUGACAGAUGAGUUAACAGAAGACAAGAGCAUAAAAGUCUGUCCAGUUUCUUUCCUCUGCAGACUAAAGAGAAAUGAGUGAUUAAAGUCCAAGCUUGGGAACUGUAGCACUAAGGUUACAGCUCAGAUUCCAUUAAAAGAAAAGAAAAGAAAAGAAAAGAAAAGAAAAGAAAAGAAAAGAAAAGAAAAGAAAAGAAAAGAAGAAAGAAAGAAAGAAAGAAAGAAAGAAAGAAAGAAAGAAAGAAAGAAAAGAAGAAAGAAAGAAAGAAAGAAAGAAAGAAAGAAAGAAAGAAAGAAAGAAAGAAAGAAAGAAAGAAAGAAAGAAAGAAAGAAUCUUGCACGGCAAGAGAAAGAGGUGAGAUGGUAAAAUUUUUGUACAGGUGUCUGGAAUCAAUAGACUACUAUAGGGUGAUAUAAAGACUGAUAUUCCAACAAGAUGGAGGUUCUGAAAACUGUUUCUCAACAUGGAGGAAGAAGGAAGCAUAUCAGCNUCUGCAGUUGCCCUGCGAGUGUCUUCUUGGAGCUUACUGCUGCUAUCCCAGAAAACUUAGAAGACGAAAAGAAGAAGAAAAGAAGAAAUGUUGUUUGUUCUUGUCAUNCUAUCUAUAUUGUUGUACAUAGACUCAAAUAAAUGCACUCAUAUAUCUGCUACUUCAGGGUAUAAAUAGUUACAAUUAUAUGGUAUUGAGGUGUCAAUGUUUGGUUAAACUUGGUAAAUAAAUCUCAUGGUAAAUAUCA
rnacentral:lncRNA from 1 species